rnacentral:rRNA from 1 species
GACGAACGCUGGCGGCGUGCCUAAUACAUGCAAGUCGAGCGCGGGAAAUCGACGGAACCCUUCGGGGGGAAGUCGACGGAAUGAGCGGCGGACGGGUGAGUAACACGUAAAGAACCUGCCCUCAGGUCUGGGAUAACCACGAGAAAUCGGGGCUAAUACCGGAUGGGUCAUCGGACCGCAUGGUCCGAGGAUGAAAGGCGCUCCGGCGUCGCCUGGGGAUGGCUUUGCGGUGCAUUAGCUAGUUGGUGGGGUAAUGGCCCACCAAGGCGACGAUGCAUAGCCGACCUGAGAGGGUGAUCGGCCCAACUGGGACUGAGACACGGCCCAGACUCCUACGGGAGGUAGCAGUAGGGAAUCUUCCACAAUGGACGAAAGUCUGAUGGAGCAACGCCGCGUGAACGAUGAAGGCCUUCGGGUCGUAAAGUUCUGUUGUAAGGGAAGAACAAGUGCCGCAGGCAAUGGCGGCACCUUGACGGUACCUUGCGAGAAAGCCACGGCUAACUACGUGCCAGCCGCCGCCGUAACAC